rnacentral:lncRNA from 1 species
AUGCAGUGGCACGUCUUCCUUUUUGCCUGUGAUACCUGGCAUCGCUUGAAGGAGCAGCAGAGCUCCAAGGAACACCCUUUGCAAACUUCUUUAAAGGUGUUGAUGCAGAUUGUGGUUGAAAAAUCCAGUUAUAAGAGAUGUCUGAACAGAAUCUAUAAAUUGAGACAUCCCCAGAAUGUAGAUGGUUUCUAAAACCAGAGGGAU